rnacentral:rRNA from 1 species
AUGUACAUUCCUACAAGAUAACAUUAAUGCAUCAGAUCCCUUUAUAACUCUGCAGUUAAGCAUGCUCAGGAUAGAGUAGUACUGGGAUGGGUGAUCGCCUGAGAAGUCCUAACAUUUUACAUG